GAGUUUGAUCGUGGCUCAGAUUGAACGCUGGCGGCAGGCCUAACACAUGCAAGUCGAGCGGUAGAGAGAAGCUUGCUUCUCUUGAGAGCGGCGGACGGGUGAGUAAUGCCUAGGAAUCUGCCUGGUAGUGGGGGAUAAUGCUCGGAAACGGACGCUAAUACCGCAUACGUCCUACGGGAGAAAGCAAGGGACCUUCGGGCCUUGCGCUAUCAGAUGAGCCUAGGUCGGAUUAGCUAGUUGGUGAGGUAAUGGCUCACCAAGGCGACGAUCCGUAACUGGUCUGAGAGGAUGAUCAGUCACACUGGAACUGAGACACGGUCCAGACUCCUACGGGAGGGCAGCAGUGGGGAAUAUUGGACAAUGGGCGAAAGCCUGAUCCAGCCAUGCCGCGUGUGUGAAGAAGGUCUUCGGAUUGUAAAGCACUUUAAGUUGGAGGAAGGGCAGUAAAUUAAUAACUUUGCUGUUUUGACGUUACCGACAGAAUAAGCACCGGCUAACUCUAGUGCCAGACG
rnacentral:rRNA from 1 species